CUCUCUCUCUCUCUCUAUAUAUAUAUAUAUUUAUAUAUAUCCGCAGACUACAAAGCCCCCCUGCGGUAUCAAUUCUAAAAUCUCUCUCUCUCAGCAUCUCAAAUUUGAUGUAAGUUUUGAAAACCAAAUUCUCAUUACCAGUUGCUAGUAUUGGAUCAUUGUUCUAUUUUCCAAAACCACUCUCUUUAUAGUAAUCGAAAAAGAAGAAGUAAAAAGAAUUCCUCCAUGAAUAUUGCUUCGUUGCUUCCUUGAAACCAAUCCCUCUCUCUUUUUUGAACUGCCAUUCAUAGCUUAACAAAACAGACCUACGUAUGUGCCAAGUAAAGCAGUUCAGGAAAUUGGUUCAACUGUACUAUAUACCCCCAUGAGUCCAUGACGCUUCUACAUUCUUGCACACCAGCCCUACACACUUUGCCUCUGUUUUUCACUCAAAUUUUUGAUCUUUCCCACCAGAGAAACAAUACCCAGAUUCCAUACUCAGCUAUUGAGCUUAAAUGUCUAAGACUCCAUCAAAACCAGACCCUAACGCCAAUCCUGUCUUUGAACUUUUCAAGAAAUGUAAACGCUUUAAACACUUUAAGCUGUAUGCAGGUGUUCUCGGAUUCGUUUUCGCUAGUAUCUCUGUGAUUUGCUGCUUCUUCUACUUAGAUUACAGAGCUGUGGUCAUAAGGAUUCCAUUUCAAGCUCAGUCAGAGAGGUUCCUAUCUAAAGGGGACGCUGGUGAGGACCAAAGGGUUGAUUUUCUUUGAGAAAAGGGUGAAAGGUGUGAUGUAUUUGAAGGUGAUUGGAUGUGGAAUGAGAACUAUCCUAUUGAAUUGGAAAAUUUUAGCUCUUUAUAUUAUAGAUUUAUGUUGCUGUUGACGAAUUGUUUUAUUAAAUUUGCUAUAUAUGAUGAAAAAGCUUGCCCCUUUUUUUUCACCAUUGUUUUUCGAAGAUGUUUAAUUGAAUGGUACAGUGAAUUUUCCUCAUUGCCCAAGUAGAAAAGGAUUAUAUAUAGUAUGAAUUUGGUGUCAUCGAAAAGUUGUUUUAAUUUCCUAAUCAUUAAGAUCAUAGGCAUAGCUCCCCCAAAUAGAAACUAUUGUCUUUUGAUGUCACAAGAGUUGUGUUCUUUUAUGACUGAUCUUUAUAAUAUUUGACUGUAGCAUCAGUGUUUGGUACUAAUUUUCCAAGAUUUGAUUUUUUUAAACUUUAGCAAAGGGAUUGCUGAAUAGCAGUUUGUGUGUGUAUAACAGUGACAUUCUAGAUGAUUCUUGAUUAAGACAUAACAUCUUUUUUUUUAACUAUUGAUAUAUAUUGUUGUGAUUGAUACAUAAUAAAAAUAAUGUUAUCAAUACAUCUAUAUGUGAUAGUGAUGUUGCUCCAAUUACAAAAAUAUUUAAUUGUUGUGAAAUAUCGAAGUUGUAAAGAAUGUAGCUACUGUAAUAAUCUAAAUUUAUGAUCAAUGUUAUGUAAAAUCUCUUUUGUUUAUGUCAUGGGUUACAAUCAAAUACAAAAUAUGUGGCUACUUUCCUGAUUUCUUUGAGGUUGCUGCUAUAAAGGGAAAAGGUACAAGAGAUUGCUUUCUUAAAUUUUGUUAUGGAUCAUUUUGAAGUUUUUUCUUCCCUUUUGUCAAUGUUCAAUUGUAGUGUGAUUAGUUUAGGUGCGUUUUUUGGGUGUAUUCAUGCAAUAAAACAUUCUUUUGAUUCCCAUUUAGAAAGUGUACACCAUGUGUUUGACAAAAAGUCUCACUCAAAAUUGAAAAUUACCACUUAAAAUUGAAACUUAACAAAUAACACCGUUUGAAAUCCCAACCAUGAUAGUGGUAACUUUCUCCCAAAUUGUUUUGAGGGCUAUGAAUAGAUCAUAGUCAACUUGCUCAACUUUUUUCAAGCGGAAGGUUGUAGGUGAAGUUGAUUCUGUGGGGUCGAGGUGGAGGAUGCUCUUCUUGCUGUCUGUGGCUGUUCCAAAAUUUAGUUGGUCUAGCAGCAUGAUGUGAUGGAAUGUGCGUUCAACGACCAGCCUUCUUCUUUCAUUGAACUCAUGGAUUUGGCCUGGGAUAGGGACCAAAAAACAUGUGAACUCACUACCAUGCUAUCAUGGGUACUAUGGCAAUGAAGAAACAGGUUUAGGCCUAUAUUAUGUUGCAGUACUAGGGCUUUCAACAAGGAAGAAUCUCAACAAUUCAAGGAGUACAAGCAUUCCACUGAUCCUAAUCCUACUGGAGGUUAAUGGCAAAUUGUACUUAAACUAGCAGGUGCAAAAAGGAGGGGAUUUACUGGUAGUGCUUAUGCUUAUGAGGCUAGGAACAAACAAGGUGAAAUGGUGUUUUGGGGUAUCAGAAGCUGUGUUGCGAGCUCUGCUGCUGGGGAAGUAGAUGAAGCUCUGGUGGAAGCCUUGAUCCAGGCGAGGACCCUUGGUUUUCAGCAAGUUUUGGUACUCAACAACUGUAGGAAAUUAGUUCUACUCUUUAAUGGGUUUGCAAAGCCAGAUUGGAGGGAAAGAACAAUGAUGGCAGAUCUUAGUCACAUGCAACAAACUGGUUUAGUGUUUAAGCUGAUUUUUGUUCGUAAGGUUGUCCUAGAUAAUGCCUGGAAUUUAGCUAAGUUGGCUAUUGAUGUGCCAACUCACUUCUAUUGGCCUAAUAUGGUUCAGUUCAUAACUUAACUGUAUGUUUUUCUUUCUUUACUGGUAUAAAAAUUAUGCUUAA